rnacentral:rRNA from 1 species
GAACCAUCUAGUAGCUGGUUCCCUCCGAAGUUUCCCCCAGGAUAGCUGGAGCUUGAUCAGUUUUAUCGGGUAAAGCGAAUGAUUAGAGGUACCGGGGAUGAAACAUCCUCGACCUAUUCUCAAACUUUAAAUAGGUAAGACGUCUGGGUUGCUUAAUUGAACCCAGGCAUUCAAUGAGAGCUCCAAGUGGGCCAUUUUUGGUAAGCAGAACUGG